UACAGAGGGUGCAAGCGUUAAUCGGAAUUACUGGGCGUAAAGCGUGCGUAGACGGUUGCAUAAGUCAGAUGUGAAAAGCCCCGGGCUCAACCUGGGAAUUGCAUUUGAGACUGUGUAGCUAGGGUGCGGAAGAGGGAAGCGGAAUUUCCGGUGUAGCGGUGAAAAUGCGUAGAUAUCGGAAGGAACACCAGUGGCGAAAGCGGCUUCCUGGUCCAGCACCGACGUUCAGGCACGAAAGCGUGGGGAGCAAACAGG
rnacentral:rRNA from 1 species